rnacentral:rRNA from 1 species
UACGGAGGAUCCAAGCGUUAUCCGGAUUUAUUGGGUUUAAAGGGUGCGUAGGUGGUUCUUUAAGUCAGGGGUGAAAGACGGCAGCUUAACUGUCGCAGUGCCUUUGAUACUGAAGAACUUGAAUGAACUAGAGGUAGGCGGAAUGUGACAAGUAGCGGUGAAGUGCAUAGAUAUGUCACAGGACACCAAUCGCGAAGGCAGCUUACUAUGGUUUGAUCGACACUGAGGCACGAAAGCGUGGGGAUCAAACAGG